rnacentral:rRNA from 1 species
AGAUUGAACGCUGGCGGCAGGCCUAACACAUGCAAGUCGAGCGGUAGAGAGGUGCUUGCACCUCUUGAGAGCGGCGGACGGGUGAGUAAUGCCUAGGAAUCUGCCUAGUGGUGGGGGAUAACGUUCGGAAACGGACGCUAAUACCGCAUACGUCCUACGGGAGAAAGCGGGGGACCUUCGGGCCUCGCGCCAUUAGAUGAGCCUAGGUCGGAUUAGCUAGUUGGUGAGGUAAUGGCUCACCAAGGCGACGAUCCGUAACUGGUCUGAGAGGAUGAUCAGGCACACUGGAACUGAGACACGGUCCAGACUCCUACGGGAGGCAGCAGGUGGGAAUAGUUGGACAAUGGGCGAAAGCCUGAUCCAGCCAUGCCGCGUGUGUGAAGAAGGUCUUCGGAUUAGUAAAGCUACGUUUAAGGUUGGUAGGUAAGGUUAGUAACUUAAGUACGUUGUCUAACGUUUGACGUUACCGACAGAAUAAGCACCGCUAACUUCGUCGCCAGC